UUGGGUUAAGUCCCGCAACGAGCGCAACCCUUGAUCUUAGUUGCCAGCAUUUCGGAUGGGCACUCUAAGGUGACUGCCGGUGACAAACCGGAGGAAGGUGGGGAUGACGUCAAAUCAUCAUGCCCCUUAUGACCUGGGCUACACACGUACUACAAUGGCCGGUACAACGGGCUGUGAAGCCGCGAGGUGGAACGAAUCCUAAAAAGCCGGUCUCAGUUCGGAUUGCAGGCUGCAACUCGCCUGCAUGAAGUCGGAAUUGCUAGUAAUCGCGGAUCAGCAUGCCGCGGUGAAUACGUUCCCGGGUCUUGUACACACCGCCCGUCACACCACGAGAGUUUAUAACACCCGAAGUCGGUGGGGUAACCGCAAGGA
rnacentral:rRNA from 1 species